ACGGGAGGCAGCAGUAGGGAAUAUUGCACAGUGGGGGAAACCCUGAUGCAGCAACGCCACGUGUGGGAAGAAGCAUUUCGGUGUGUAAACCACUGUCGUGAGGGAAUAAUGCUUAAUUUCGGUUAAGUUGAAUGUACCUCGAAAGGAAGCACCGGCAAACUUCGUGCCAGCAGCCGCGGUAAUACGAGGGGUGCAAGCGUUGUUCGGAAUCACUGGGCGUAAAGGGAGCGCAGGCGGAGAUGCAAGCGGACUGUAAAAUACCGGGGCCCAACCCCGGACCUGCAGUCCGGACUGCACCUCUUGGAUAGUUCAGGGGCAAGCGGAAUUCCUGGUGUAGCGGUGGAAUGCGUAGAGAUCAGGAAGAACACCGAUGGCGAAGGCAGCUUGCUGGGGACUUAUCGACGCUCAGGCUCGAAAGUGCGGGUAGCAAACAGGAUUAGAUACCCUGGUA
rnacentral:rRNA from 1 species